rnacentral:rRNA from 1 species
UCAAGCGAACAAGGGCGCAGGGCGAAUGCCUUGGCACUGGGAGCCGAUGAAAGACGUGAUAAGCUGCGAUAAGCUUCGGGGAGCUGCAAAUAAGCAUUGAUCCGGAGAUUUCUGAAUGAGGAAACUCACCUGGGUUCAUACUCAAGUACGUUGUACUGAAAUUCAAAAUAGGUACAUCGAGGGAACCGCCUGAACUGAAACAUCUAAGUAGGGCGAGGAAGAGACAUCAAACGAGAUUCCGUAAGUAGUGGCGAGCGAACGCGGAAGAGGGCAAACCGAAGGUAGAAAUACCUUCGGGGUACGGAGCGCAUUUAAGACUCAAGUUGUUAACCGAACGGCAUGGGAAGGCCGGUCAGAGAGUGUGAGAACCACGUAGGUGAAAACGAUAAGAGCUGAGCGAUUUCCAGAGUACGGCCAGACACGUGAAACCUGGUCGGAAGAUGGGGGGACCACCCUCCAACCCUAAAUACUACCCAGUGACCGAUAGCGUAUAGUACUGUGAAGGAAAGGUGAAAAGCACCCCGGGAGGGGAGUGAAAAAGAACCUGAAACCCUGUGCCUACAAGCACCUAGAGCACGUCAAUGUGUGAUAGGGUACUUUUUGUAGAACGGUCCGGCGAGCGAUUGUAUGCAGCAAGGUUAAGGACUUAAGGUCUGGAGCCGAAGCGAAAGCGAGUUUGAAAAGGGCGUUAAGUUGCAUAUAAUGGGCCCGAAACCGGGUGACCUACCCAUGGUCAGGUUGAAGUGGAAGUAAAAUUCCAUGGAGGACCGAACCGACCUCCGUUGAAAAGGCGGCGGAUGAACUGUGGGUAGCGGAGAAAUUCCAAUCGAACCCGGAGAUAGCUGGUUCUCCCCGAAAUAGUUUUAGGACUAGCCUCAAGUUAGAUACCUGGAGGUAAAGCACUGAAUAGCCUAGCGGCCGAGAGGUUAGCGAAGCUUAUCAAACUCAGAAUGCCAGAGUAUUGAUGCUUGGGAGUCAGACAGUGUCAGAUAAAUGUCAUUGUCAAAAGGGAAACAGCCCAGAUCUACAGCUAAGGUCCCAAAGUCAGGUUAAGUGGAAAACGAUGUGAAGAUACGCAGACAACCAGGAUGUUGGCUCAGAAGCAGCCACUCAUUCAAAGAGUGCGUAAUAGCUCACUGGUCGAGCGUCUUUGCGCGGAGAAUUUAACGGGGCUAAACCUGACACCGAAGCUUAGGCAAUCCAGCAAUGGAUUGGGUAGGGGAGCGUUGUAUACGCGGAGAAACAGUAGCGUAAGCGGCUGUGGAGUGUAUAGAAGUGAGAAUGCCGGAAUGAGUAGCGCGAAUGCAGUGAGAAUCUGCAUGGCCGAAAGCCUCAGGUUUUUGGAGGAAGGUUCGUCCGCUCCAAGUUAGUCGGGAGCUAAGGUGAGGCCGAGAGGCGUAGCCGAUGCACAGACGGUAGAGAUUCCGUCACCACCGAAAGAGUUAAGCACAGGGACACAUUUGAAGUCUCAGAGCCGGGUGUUGGUUCCGGUAGAGAUCGAGGGAAAUUAGUACCGAAGUCUGAGAUGGAAGAUGGCGAGAAAAGCUGUGUGUAUUUCUGAGGUGCCCGUACCGCAAACCGACACAGGUAGGUAGGAAGAAGAUUCUAAGGCCAACGGGAGAAGGGUUGUUAAGGAACUCGGCAAAUUGACCCCGUAACUUCGGGAGAAGGGGUGCUCCAGAGAUGGAGCCGCAGAGAAUCGGCCCAAGCAACUGUUUACCAAAAACACAGGUUUGUGCUAAAUCGAAAGAUGACGUAUACGAGCUGACGCCUGCCCGGUGCUGGAAGGUUAAGAGGAGAUGUGCAAGCAUUGAAUCGAAGCCCCAGUGAACGGCGGCCGUAACUAUAACGGUCCUAAGGUAGCGAAAUUCCUUGUCAGGUAAGUUCUGACCCGCAUGAAAGGCGUAAUGAUUUGGGCACUGUCUCAACAGCCCGCCCGGCGAAAUUGUAGU